rnacentral:rRNA from 1 species
CUUGUCUCAAAGAUUAAGCCAUGCAUGUCUAAGUAUAAGCAACUUGUACUGUGAAACUGCGAAUGGCUCAUUAUAUAAGUUAUCGUUUAUUUGAUAAUACUUUACUACUUGGAUAACCGUGGUAAUUCUAGAGCUAAUACAUGCUAAAAAUCCCGACUUCGGAAGGGUUGUAUUUAUUAGAUUAAAAACCAAUGCCCCUCGGGGCUCUCUGGUGAAUCAUGAUAACUAGUCGAAUCGACAGGCCUUGUGCCGGCGAUGGCUCAUUCAAAUUUCUUCCCUAUCAACUUUCGAUGUUUGGGUCUUGUCCAAACAUGGUGGCAACGGGUAACGGAGGGUUAGGGCUCGACCCCGGAGAAGGAGCCUGAGAAACGGCUACUACAUCCAAGGAAGGCGGCAGGCGCGCAAAUUACCCAAUCCCGACACGGGGAGGUAGUGACAAUAAAUACUGAUACGGGGCUCUUUUGGGUCUCGUAAUUGGAAUGAGAACAAUUUAAAUCCCUUAACGAGGAGCAAUUGGAGG